AUUGAACGCUGGCGGCAGGCCUAACACAUGCAAGUCGAACGAGUGGCGGACGGGUGAGUAAUGUCUGGGAAACUGCCUGAUGGAGGGGGAUAACUACUGGAAACGGUAGCUAAUACCGCAUACCAUCGGAUGUGCCCAGAUGGGAUUAGCUAGUAGGUGGGGUAAAGGCUCACCUAGGCGACGAUCCCUAGCUGGUCUGAGAGGAUGACCAGCGACACGGGAACUGAGACACGGUCCAGACUCCUACGGGAGGCAGCAGUGGGGAAGAUUGCACAAUGGGCGCAAGCCUGAUGCAGCCAUGCCGCGUGUAUGAAGAAGGCCUUCGGGUUGUAAAGUACUUUCAGCUGGGAGGCGUUACCCGCAGAAGAAGCACCGGCUAACUCCGUGCCAGCAGCCGCGGUAAUUC
rnacentral:rRNA from 1 species